CUGGUGGAUGCGCUGCUGGAUGGUUGUGUGCGAGACGCGCUGAGGACUAGGCCACGUGGUCUGGACAUGGCGGCUCCCAGCGAGACAAACGGAGGGGACCUGAAGAGUCGGAGUGGGGCAGUAGGAUGAGACCCCAGGCGUACGCUAUGGCUAUACAUAAGGGCCGUCUCCGAUCCAUGAGGCUCAUCGUCUGGUAAGACGCACACUCCAAGGCGCCUGGUGCUGCUCUACAGAAAUAAAGGGUUCCGUACUUGCCCUUCAUUUGAAGAUUAGUAAAGUGGGGUUCAUCAGCUGAAUCAACUGCAAAUCCGCUGUUGAGGGGACAUCUUUUGGUGCAGUCACAGACAAGACAUAUGUAUCAGGAUAACUUCUUUAUUAAUAGCUUUAUGACAACGCGGUUCAGAGUCAUUGGGUGUCAGCCAGAGGAUGCGUCCGGAUACUCCGAAGAGCUGGCUUCUCAGUGUGAUUGUGUCAAAAGAUGUCCACUCAACAGUGGUUUUGAAGUUGCUUCAGCUGCUGAACCCCACUUUGCUGCUACCCCGUGAAGGUUGGCUCCCAGUGCAGUGAGGAUCCAGAAAACAUCAAGAAUGGUGGUCUGCCAACAAAAGGUAGUUUGGAAGUCUACAUGACCAGCUUGAGAAUAUGAACGAGUUGUCUGAAGAUUAUACGUUCUGACUUUUUUUUUUUUAAGUCUCAGAUAAUUUUAGAUUAUCUUGUAUUUUUCUAAAAUUACAUUAAAGCAGUUUAAACCAA